rnacentral:rRNA from 1 species
GGCAAAAUGAGAGCCCAACUGUCUCUUAUAACAAAUCAAUUAAACUGAUCUUCUAGUACAAAAGCUAGAAUCUCCACAUAAGACCAGAAGACCCUGUGAAGCUUCAAUUAACCUAUUAAACCCAAUAAUAGCUAAUUUAGGUUGGGGCGACCUUGGAAUAAAAAAGAACUUCCAAAAAUGACUUCCUCAUAUAAAGGCAAACAAGCCAUAAUUAGACCCAGUAUAUCUGACAAAUGAACCAAGUUACUCCAGGGAUAACAGCGCUAUCUUCUUCAAGAGCCCAUAUCAAAAAGAAGGUUUACGACCUCGAUGUUGGAUCAGGACAUCCUAGUUAUGCAGCCGUUUCUAAGGGUUCGUUUGUUCAACGAUUAACAGUCCUACGUGA